rnacentral:rRNA from 1 species
UCAGAUUGAACGCUGGCGGAAUGCUUUACACAUGCAAGUCGAACGGCAGCACGGGGGCAACCCUGGUGGCGAGUGGCGAACGGGUGAGUAAUACAUCGGAACGUGCCCGAUCGUGGGGGAUAACGUAGCGAAAGCUACGCUAAUACCGCAUACGAUCUACGGAUGAAAGCGGGGGAUCGCAAGACCUCGCGCGAACGGAGCGGCCGAUGGCAGAUUAGGUAGUUGGUGGGGUAAAGGCUCACCAAGCCUGCGAUCUGUAGCUGGUCUGAGAGGACGACCAGCCACACUGGGACUGAGACACGGCCCAGACUCCUACGGGAGGCAGCAGUGGGGAAUUUUGGACAAUGGGCGAAAGCCUGAUCCAGCCAUUCCGCGUGCAGGAUGAAGGCCUUCGGGUUGUAAACUGCUUUUGUACGGAACGAAACGGCCUUUUCUAAUACAGAGGGCUAAUGACGGUACCGUAAGAA